UCGUGCGAAUAAAGCGCCAAGACUUCUCCUAGUCCUCGCGUCUGUUCUCUUUCCCCCUUCCGCUGUCCCUCUUUCUUGGCGGUGAAGUCGAAUCUCAUUUUGGUCUCGAUUGGAAGUGGAGAAGGAUGGGCGGUGAUAAGUGGAGAGAAAUCUGAUACGUUUUGGUCGGAUAAUGAUGAUUACUGGAAUGCUGAAAACUGGACCAGAUCUUGCCUUCUGACAACCGUGACAUUUUGCAAAAACAUAUUUGGUGAUUAUGAGUGUACACUGGAAUGAGAUUGAGAGGGACGGUUCUAGACAUGUUAGAUCAAUGCAAAAGAGUGGCUAGCCAAGGGAUAUAAAAAUGAUCAGCAUAAUUAUCUGAAGGAUAAGUUCUCCUCUACCAUAGACAAUGCACUGAGGAACUAAUGAAGCUUUAGCAGACAUUUCAUUUCGUAGCAUAUUUCUGCCAUAGAUGGCAUAUUUGUAACAUGCAAGGGGCAUUAUCAGUAAGAGGGACAGGGCCUAUUGCACCAGCUGGAUGAAGAUUUUCUCUCCCUUCCUCUGAAAAAUGGUUUGCAAUGUGCAUUAUCUGAUUGCAUUAUAUCCCUUUGCUGGUUGAUUGUUCUGUGCAUUUAUUGUUACUUUUGGGCUGUGGUUGCUCUGAGAAAGGUAUCUUUCAUCUUGGACUCCAGCAGUUGCUGAAUCUUUCUUCUG